GAUCCUGGCUCAGAUUGAACGCUGGCGGCAUGCCUUACACAUGCAAGUCGAACGGUAGCAGGUCUUCGGACGCUGACGAGUGGCGAACGGGUGAGUAAUACAUCGGAACGUGCCCAGUCGUGGGGGGUAACUACUCGAAAGAGUAGCUAAUACCGCAUACGAUCUGAGGAUGAAAGCGGGGGACCUUCGGGCCUCGCGCGAUUGGAGCGGCCGAUGGCAGAUUAGGUAUUGGUGGGAUAAAAG
rnacentral:rRNA from 1 species